AUGAACGCUAGCUACAGGCUUAACACAUGCAAGUCGAGGGGCAGCAUUUUAGUUUGCUUGCAAACUGAAGAUGGCGACCGGCGCACGGGUGAGUAACACGUAUCCAACCUGCCGAUAACUCGGGGAUAGCCUUUCGAAAGAAAGAUUAAUAUCCGAUAGUAUAUUAAAACCGCAUGGUUUUACUAUUAAAGAAUUUCGGUUAUCGAUGGGGAUGCGUUCCAUUAGUUUGUUGGCGGGGUAACGGCCCACCAAGACUACGAUGGAUAGGGGUUCUGAGAGGAAGGUCCCCCACAUUGGAACUGAGACACGGUCCAAACUCCUACGGGAGGCAGCAGUGAGGAAUAUUGGUCAAUGGACGAGAGUCUGAACCAGCCAAGUAGCGUGAAGGAUGACUGCCCUAUGGGUUGUAAACUUCUUUUAUAUGGGAAUAAAGUAUUCCACGUGUGGGAUUUUGUAUGUACCAUAUGAAUAAGGAUCGGCUAACUCCGUGCCAGCAGCCGCGGUAAUACGGAGGAUCCGAGCGUUAUCCGGAUUUAUUGGGUUUAAAGGGAGCGUAGGUGGAUUGUUAAGUCAGUUGUGAAAGUUUGCGGCUCAACCGUAAAAUUGCAGUUGAAACUGGCAGUCUUGAGUACAGUAGAGGUGGGCGGAAUUCGUGGUGUAGCGGUGAAAUGCUUAGAUAUCACGAAGAACUCCGAUUGCGAAGGCAGCCUGCUAAGCUGCAACUGACAUUGAGGCUCGAAAGUGUGGGUAUCAAACAGGAUUAGAUACCCUGGUAGUCCACACGGUAAACGAUGAAUACUCGCUGUUUGCGAUAUACAGUAAGCGGCCAAGCGAAAGCAUUAAGUAUUCCACCUGGGGAGUACGUUCGCAAGAAUGAAACUCAAAGGAAUUGACGGGGACCCGCACAAGCGGUGGAGCAUGUGGUUUAAUUCGAAGCAACGCGAAGAACCUUACCAAGUCUUGACAUCCGCCUGACCGAUCCUUAACCGGAUCUUUCCUUCGGGACAGGCGAGACAGGUGGUGCAUGGUUGUCGUCAGCUCGUGCCGUGAGGUGUCGGCUUAAGUGCCAUAACGAGCGCAACCCUUAUCUUUAGUUACUAACAGGUCAUGCUGAGGACUCUAGAGAGACUGCCGUCGUAAGAUGUGAGGAAGGUGGGGAUGACGUCAAAUCAGCACGGCCCUUACGUCCGGGGCUACACACGUGUUACAAUGGGGGGUACAGAAGGCAGCUACCUGGCGACAGGAUGCUAAUCCCAAAAACCUCUCUCAGUUCGGAUCGAAGUCUGCAACCCGACUUCGUGAAGCUGGAUUCGCUAGUAAUCGCGCAUCAGCCAUGGCGCGGUGAAUACGUUCCCGGGCCUUGUACACACCGCCCGUCAAGCCAUGAAAGCCGGGGGUACCUGAAGUACGUAACCGCAAGGAGCGUCCUAGGGUAAAACUGGUAAUUGGGGCU
rnacentral:rRNA from 1 species